GCUCUGUUCAUCACGGAGGCCUCCGCACCGCGUGUGUGGAUAUUCUGCAGGAAGUUCCUAAACCACCUUUACCGCGGAGCCGCAUAGACAGACGCCUGCAGGGGCCAUACAAGCCAACAAGAGGACAAAGUUCAAAGCUCUGAUAAUUUCAUGGUCUGAGCUCUCCUGAUGAGUGACCAGGACCUAAAAUAAAUUCAUCCCUACUGUGGUGUGACCUCGGUGGUGGCCUUUUGAAGACUUGGAAAGGCGGUGACCACGACCGCGGAGCCCGAUGUGCACGGCAGGCGGGAAGGCCAGGCCGGCGGCCUCGGGGAGGAAGGCGUGCGCGCGGAGCGGGGGGACACGGAGGCGCGCGUGGGUCUGAACCGCGCUGCCCUGUGCCCGUGGGCUCCCGGCCCCCAGAUCAUGACCACGGCCCAGAACGGCCACGGGCGCGGAGCUGCGGUCCCCGGUCCCAUCUCUGAUCCCAAAGACCCCGGCAUGGUGACCUACCCGGCGUGUCGUCACGGGGGCUGCAGCGGCGCGGGCGCCCGGGAGGCGCGGCUCAGCCCGGCCCGCCUCCUGCGCCUCUUCUCCGCCGGCGCGAACAGGACGCGCGCCGACCCCGAGCGGCCCCGGCCCGCCGGCCUCGUGGGCAGCUCCUCCACGUGGAACGCCCUGGCCUCCUUCCGGAAAAUGGGGUCUUUCAAAAAACUGAAGACCUCGGUCCUCCAGGGAAUUCAGAACCGGGAGGGAUGGGACGCCGCCAAAGAGGGGGCCGAGGAACGCGACCUGGGCAAGGCGGUCCCCAACGGCGCGGCGGCCGGAGCCCCCGCGGGCCGGUGCCCCCCGGAGCCGGGCGUCGCGUCCGACGGCUCGGACCCCGAGGAGCCCGACGACGGCUUCGCGCGCGGCGCCCUCCGGUCCCGCAGCAUCCGCCGCGCCUACGGCCUGGGGCGCAUUCGCCUUCUUGACCCGGAGCCGCCCGCCCUGGAGCCCGCGGCGCGCGAGGCCCCGGCGCGGGAGCCCGAGAGGAACGGCGUCUGCCGGCGGAGCAAGAGUACGGACAGCCUGACCUUCCUCAAGAAGAGCUCCUUUCGGCGGAAGUCGGCCUCGCACCUGGCCGAGCUGCGGCGCGCGCCCGAGAGCCGGGGCCCGCGGAGGACGCUGAGCGGCUCGUCCGCCGACUCCGACAGCUCCGACGGGGCCCCCGCGGGGCCCAGGCGCUGCAGGAGCCCGCUGCGGGCCCCGGACCUGGCCCGGGUGCUGCGGCUCGUGGGCGGCGGCGUGGCCGACCGGCCGGGGGACCCCGGGGGCGCCCCGCCCGGGCCGCGGCCGCACAGCCGGCUGCACGACGACUACUCCCGCCGCGCGGUCGCCGGCCCCGAGCGCGGGCGGAGGGGCGCGGAGCCCCCGGACCCCGGCCUGGCGGGUGCUGGGGGCUCGGCCGGGGACGCGGCUGCCGGAGGUGCCGCUCCUCGCGCCCCCGGCUCUUGCUCCGGGCCCGCGGCCCGGGAGGUGUCGGACAGAGGCUCCAAGGAACCGGGCCCUGGCGACCGGUCUCCCGUGGAGCCCGAGCCUCCUCUCGGUCCUGCGAGGCCCACCACGCCCAAGCCCCCCAGCCCUCGGAGCCCCGACGCAGCACCUGCCAAGUGUCCCAACAGUGUCAGCGCGCUGGCCCUGAGUUCAGUGGACAGCGAGGAAAGGGCAGAGGGGCCCGUCCAGAGGGAGCAAGGUCCCGGGUCCUUCCAGGAUGUGCUGCAAACCGCCUGUGACCUGGGCAGUGAGAACAGCGGCGCCGGCAGCCACCCGCAGCAGAGCCUCGGAGGGGCGAACUGUCCAGAAGAAAAGACGGACGAGGUUGUGACCGAGGGGUCCUGGAGGCGGACCUCCGCACCAGAGGAAGAGAGGCCGGAGGCUCACAGGGUCCCCAGGAGGAGAUGCGCACCCGGGAGGAGGCCAAGGCCCCGACCACUCUCUGACUACGGCCAGCCGGUCAGCCUAAGUCUGUCCAUCCCUGAAGACUCGAUCGCCGUAGACCCCCAGAAAGAGGACACUGAGGACGGUGACCACCAGCCCAGCGGGGCCCCCAUCGACCCUGCAGACCAGACCCCUGCUGGGGGCUGCCCCCGGGGGGCGCCAAGAAGACGCCCCAUCUCCGUGAUCGGCGGGGUCGGCUUCUAUGGGAGCAGCCAGGCGGAGGAGGGGGAGGCCAUUCUGCCCCAACCGGCUGCCCGGCCGCCCGUGCCCGCGCACCAGGUGCCUCCCUACCGCGCGGUGUCGGCCCGGCUGCGGCCGUGCGCCUUCUCCCAGAGCACCCCCAUCGGGCUGGACCGCGUGGGACGCCGGCGGCUCAUGAGAGCAUCCAACAUUUCUUCUGAUGGCGGUGCAGAGCCGUCUGCCCUAGCGGAUGACAAUGGCAGCGAGGAGGACUACAGCUAUGAAGACCUCUGUCGGGCCAGCCCCCGGUACCUGCAGCCGGGCGGGGAGCAGCUGGCCAUCAACGAGCUGAUCAGCGAUGGCAGCGUGGUCUGCGCCGAGGCCCUGUGGGACCACGUGACCAUGGACGAGCAGGAGCUGGGCUUCAAGGCCGGGGACGUCAUCCAGGUCUUGGAAGCCUCCCACAAGGACUGGUGGUGGGGUCGCAGCGCGGACAGGGAGGCCUGGUUCCCCGCCAGCUUCGUCCGACUGCGGGUCAAUCAGGAGGAGCUGUCGGAGGGCGCCAGCGGCAGCCCGGGCGAGGAGCCGGCGGAGGACGCGGGCCGGGGCCGCCACAAGCACCCUGAGAGCAAGCGGCAGAUGCGGACCAACGUUAUCCAGGAGAUCAUGGACACCGAGCGGGUGUACAUCAAGCACCUCCGGGACAUCUGCGAGGGCUACAUUCGACAGUGUCGCAAGCACACGGCGAUGUUCACGGUCGCACAGCUCGCCACCAUUUUUGGAAACAUUGAAGAUAUUUACAAAUUCCAAAGAAAGUUCCUGAAAGACCUUGAGAAACAGUACAAUAAAGAGGAGCCUCACCUGAGCGAAAUAGGGUCCUGCUUUCUUCAACACCAAGAGGGCUUCGCCAUCUACUCCGAGUACUGCAACAACCACCCGGGCGCCUGCGCCGAGCUGGCGGGCCUGAUGAAGCAGGGCCGCUACCGACACUUCUUUGAGGCCUGCCGCCUGCUGCAGCAGAUGAUCGACAUCGCCAUUGACGGCUUCCUGCUGACGCCCGUGCAGAAGAUCUGCAAGUACCCGCUGCAGCUGGCCGAGCUGCUCAAGUACACCACUCAGGAGCACAGCGAUUACAGCAACAUAAAGGCAGCGUACGAGGCCAUGAAGAACGUCGCCUGUCUGAUCAAUGAGCGAAAACGCAAGCUGGAAAGCAUAGACAAGAUAGCACGGUGGCAGGUGUCCAUCGUGGGCUGGGAGGGCCAGGACAUCCUCGAGCGCAGCUCGGAGCUGAUCCACUCCGGGGAGCUGACCAGGGUCACCCGGCAGGGCAAGAGCCAGCAGCGGACGUUCUUCCUGUUUGACCACCAGCUGGUGGCCUGCAAGAAGGACCUGCUGCGGAGGGACGUGCUCUACUACCGCGGCCGCACGGACAUGGACGCCGUGGAACUCGUGGACCUGGAGGACGGCCGCGACGGUGCCCGCACCCUCGGCGUCAGAAACGCCUUCAAGCUGGUCAGCAGGACGGGUGACGAGGCGCACCUGUUCUGUGCCAAGAAGCCUGAGGACAAGGCGCGGUGGCUGCAGGCCUGCAGGGACGAGCGCAGGCGGGUGCAGGAGGACCGGGCGAUGGGAAUGGAAAUUUCAGAAAAUCAGAAGAAACUCGCCAUGUUAAAUGCUCAAAAGGCAGGACACGGAAAGUCAAAAGGCUACGGCGGAGGAUGCCCUUCGGCCCCCCCGCUCCAGAGCCUGCGGCCGGUCCACCAGCGCCACGUCACCGUGCCCGCCAGCCUGCCGCAGCAGCAGGUGUUCGCGCUGGCGGAGCCCAAGAGGAAGCCGUCGCUGUUCUGGCACACCUUCAACAAGCUCACCCCCUUCAGGAAGUGACGCGGGGGGCCGGGGAGGGGGGCGCCGUGCCCCUCCUGGGCCCCAUCCAAGGAGUGUACUCCGCACGGGGCACGGGGAUCCGGUGCUGAACACCUCCCCUGGGGACGCGGUGAGGAGACCUGGCCUCGCCGGCGGUCGCAGAGGCCCAGCUGCCUUCUCGGGAGCGAGGGGGGCAUGACGCACAGCUCCAGUGUCGCCUGGGCCGCUCCCCGCCGCCGUAAGCCCACCGAGGCGGCCGCCGCCGGGGAACCGCGGUGGGCUCUGGAGAUGCUGGGCGGGGAGCCGGGAGCAUGGCCGAGGACGAGCUGCGGUCCAGGCCCCGGGUGGGUCUCCCCGAGGAGGAUGGGCGGGGCCACUCUGCCUUCGGUCUUGAAGGGGAGGGGAGCGCCGGGGUCAGGGGGUGGCGGGCGGUGACCGCAGCCCCGUCGGGGCCCUGGGGUCCCCUGGCGUCUUCCACAUUCACGCAGUCGCCAGAUGGUGGGCGGGCCUCUCCCGCAGGCUCCUGCGCACGUGGUCCGGGGCCCGCGGUGCACAGAGACCCACGCGCUCCCAAGACGCCGUUGCUUUCGGGGGGCAGGGAGCCCGCGGCUGGCUUUGUACGCUUGUCCCCCCCGCGUGCCACUCCCCGAGCAGAAACCUGAGAAACUUUACGCACGUGCACUUCCAGUAGGAAAACCCAUUUCCUGUAGUUUGAUGACGGAGUGAACGUGCAGACCUCCCAGCUGAAACGUGUCCUUAAAAGAGCGUCCGCGUGCCUGUUCCUCCCUCUGCCUCCGUCCUCGCCGGUCAAGUGACAGUGACACGUACCUUCUUCCACUGAAAACCAGAGGCUCAAGGGUCCUGCUUCCUCCAUGUUUGAAGCCGACUUUGUCCCACAGCCCCGAGCGGUAGUGUCCGCCGUGCCAUGAUUAGCAUGUCGACAGGUUUCUGAAGAAAGGUUCCGUAUGGAAGAGACCUCACGAAAUAGACCCAGACUCAGAGCAGCCUUCUCUAGCGAAGGCCACGCGGCAGACGCCGGUCAGCGGCAACCUCCUUGCCUUUUCUAGAUGGUAAAUUCUGAUGAAAACGGCUUUUAAACGUGCCGGGAGGAAACAGGCUCUGCCAGAGAAACACCUUUCCAUUGACCUCAUGCACCGGGCGGGGGUCCUGUUACAUGUCUUGUGGCUUUCUACUCGGGAAUCUCUUUUUGGUGUUGAAACCCUCUAAAGUUCUCUUUUCUACCCAGUUCCUGCUUGAGAAUAAACACACCUGUACGGUCCUAACAGAGGGGACACCUGAGGCUCCAGCUUCCCAACAGAGGGACAGGAAGCACGGACACCAGGGCACGUGGUGACAGUCCCUUGGUCAGAUGUCCAUCCUAGGUGGCUCCUGCUUGGAUUUCCAGGUGAUUUGAAAACUGCUAAAGUGCGUUUAAAAGGAUAGAACGUCCUUUGUCCUCUUUAAAUUUGUGUGUCUAGCUUGGGUUUAUUAGCAAAUGCCUGCGUUCUCUACAGAAUAGAUGGCUCUGUGUUCUGUUUUUACAUUUGCCGAACUUCCUUCUUGAUUUCUCACAUGUUCCACUUGGAGAGAAAAAGAGAAAAAACGAAAAGCCCCCUGUACAGGUUGUGUAUGAAUUUCACUGGGAAUCUCGCUUUCUCUGUCUGUCUUUUUCUCUUUUUAACACUACACUGCGUGAUAUCGGUGGACCGCCCCCCCGCCCCCCCCCCCAAAAAAAAGAUGGCAUAACAUUUUGAUGAAUUUCACUUACUCUAUCAUGUUUCAGAGUUUGCCAACUCUGUUGAAAGACCUUUGAAAUGACCUCAGGUCCAAAGCAGCCUUCUCGGUUUUUGAUGAUGCCUAACAUGUAUAACAACCUUGCAGUAGAUUGUAAGCAAUCAAUCGUACAACAGAAUACCUGUGAAGUCCUGGAGAAAUGGCAUUCUUUGUCUUUGGCCUGCAAACUGGAAGAAGAGUGGCAGGGAUUUGCCAGGGCUUUCCUGGGACACCUUCUGUGUCUCUUGCUCUCGGUACAUCUGAUCUCUUCCCACCCCCCUGCCGUAGACCUGAUUUUGUAGUUGAAAACAUUUCACCCCCAUCUCCACGUUCCUUCUGAAUAUCGUCGUGCCUUUUUAUUCAUAAUACAAAGACUGAGCUCCAUGCCUGUUCAGAAAAUCCCCUCAAUCCUACAUUGCUGUUGUCUAGACACAGAGCAAAAGUGCAUUUAAUUCAAAACCUGUUUCACAAUAGAAAUCUUUUGUAAAAGCCAUGCGCCAGCAUUUUAUCGGUUGGGAAUCUCUACAGGCCCAGACCGCUGAUUCUCCUCAGUGCAGAUCAACUUAGUUACCAAGCCAGAAUAGAAAAAACCCGGCCACCUGAGUUAGGGAAGAAAUUGCGGUGUAAUAUUUUGUUGAGGAGAGGAGAAACAGACGUGUCCCUCACAGUUCAGUGCCAACAAGCGUGGAUAAAUGUGGCUCACAGGCCAGGGGUGCCAGGCACACAUCGAGAAGGCCAAACUGCCCCAAAGCAGUUGUCCCCGUAAUAAGCUUGGCCCGCAAGUUGUUCUCCCUGUUAAAAUUUCACCUGGCUGACGCUGCUCUUCUCAGGAUGGAUGCAACGAAGGUGGAGUCCAAAGGAUUCUGAAAAUAAUAAGUAGAAACUGUGUGAUCUUGAAAAAAAAAACAAACCCAGGAGCAUAAAUAUCGGAUGCAAAUUUAGUAACCACAAACUUAACAUUACUGUCUUUAGUUGUUUAUUAGGUAUCUGACACUUGAAUUUAGAAAAUACUGUAACUGAUUCUGCAAUUUAACAGUUGGUCUCUUUUUGUAAAUAUUAGCAUCCACGGUGUUUGACUUACCUACUUCGCAAGGCUUUUGGUGACCUGUUCCUUCAAUUCUAACUCACCAGCAUCAAGGUGAUGUUAUCUGUAUAGGUCAAGUGACAGCUUCCAGAUGAAGUGGCUGUUGACAGCUGAAUUGUGUUGUACAAGAUCGCUGUAACUUGAUAUGUGUUUUCUCUGAAGUUUUUGUAAAAAAAAAAAUAUAUAUUUACAAUGUUAUUUGAAUGAUUUCUUGUAAAUGCUGUGAAUCUAUAUUUGUUGUUUUGUAUCUGUAUAUUAAAGUUAAUUU